rnacentral:sRNA from 1 species
UUAAUGUUUUUAAAAAGCUUGAUUUAUAUUACUUUAUUUUAGAUUUUUGUUUUUGUAGGUAGGAUAUUAGGAAUUUUUAAAAAUUAUCUGGUAUUGUUGUAAUUUCAGCAAGUCUAGUAAACAGAGCAUCAAUCAUAUCCCAGCCUUUUUUUUGAAUAAUUAGUAAAGAAAAAUCAUUAAUAUUUAUUUGUUUUAAUAAAUUUAUCCCCAUUUGUUCAUGUUCAGGAUCAAGAUGCAUAUGUGUUUUAAAAUGUUGUGAUGCUUUAUGAUUA